UCCAAAAGAUGUUGAUAGUUAAAAGCAAUUCAAUUUACCCAGGUCACCAACCACAAUGGAGCUUGAAUUUUGUUUCACGUUAAUAAACUCCCAAAAGGUGGCCAAGGUUUAAUUGGUCUUGUUUGGAUCUAUUAUUGAAAAAUAACAGUGUUUAUAACGCAAGGCUGCGCCGCGGGGGAUAGCACAGGUGGACGGAACGGCACCGGCCUAGUCGGUUUAGCACACUGAAGGUCAGUAACACUCUGGAGACACGGCAACGUCAUUGGCUGCUGCCACCCCUCCAAACAGUUCCGGCUCCCGAGGUCUGAAGCCCUGCCGCUGCACACCGAAGCGUUCCCAGUCAGUCGCCCAGUUUGUUUCACAUUUCUACGCCAGCCCACGCAAAUGUGAUUAAAAUCUGUGUACGCGAAGCCCGCCUCCUGGGCUCGGCUGAAGGCAAUUAAGUGCGAGUUUCCUUCAGGAUUCAGGAAAACGAUGGCUGCUCUCUUUCCUCAUUUACCUGCCUACAGAUCAGACCAUGUGACAAGCAGAGAGCAAUCGCCUGGGAGAUUCCAUUGGUUCUUUGCAAACAAGAAAACAGGGACGUGGCAUUGUACAAAAUGGAACAACCCAACUGGUGCUUCACCUAUUGCUCGCGAAAGAAUCCCAACGCGUCACCCUUGUCUUUUUUUUACCUUGGUCGUGUCCAUGUAGGGCAACUAUUGUUUUGGUUUGAAACAAUGGGUCACGUUUUGACACUUAGUUGAAAUAGCCAUUGAAUGUUAUUCUACGUGAUAAAUGGUUGCCUUAAAUUAUCAAUUAUUGCGAAGAUGGAAAUACUUUGAUGUUAACAAAAGUCCCUUCAACCCCAGCUCGAGCGCUUAUCCACUUUCAAAAUUACUUCGCUGUUGACAAACUGGCGAAACUUUAUUCCAAAUUUUCACCUUUAUUAUUUCAAAUACUACGAGUUACUGGCAAAGUUUAAGUUAGUUAUAUCGCUCUGGGUUAAGUUUGUGGCCUCUGAAGAUCAAGGGAAGGAGAUACCAUUUCCUCCUCCUGCAGUACCUUAAACCGGCGCUUUUACUUUUU